CGAGUUCCCUGGAACGGGACGCCACAGAGGGUGAGAGCCCCGUCUGGUUGGAUACCAAACCUGUGUUAAACUCCUUCAACGAGUCGAGUAGUUUGGGAAUGCUGCUCUAAAUGGGAGGUAAAUCUCUUCUAAAGCUAAAUACCGGCCAGAGACCGAUAGCGCACAAGUAGAGUGAUCGAAAGAUGAAAAGCACCUUGAAAAGGGGGUUAAACAGUACGUGAAAUUGUUAAAAGGGAAGCGUUUAUGACCAGACUUGUGUCGUGUGGCUCAUCCGAGGUUCUCCCCGGUGCACUCCACACGGCUCAGGCCAACAUCGGUUCUCGUUGGGGGAUAAGAACAGCAGGAACGUGGCCCUCUUCGGAGGGUGUUAUAGCCUGCUGUACGAUACCCUGAU
rnacentral:rRNA from 1 species